AACCGGGUCCGGGCCCCUCUGAUAGUCUCUGACGAGACUAUGAUGUCGGACUCUUCCA
rfam:Bosea sp. Leaf344 contig_6, whole genome shotgun sequence.